UGAAGAUAUGUAUAGAACCUGGGUUGUGGGGUGUCUUCAUUUUCACCGUAGUUGGGUAUUGCCAAACAUUGUAAAAUGACCUUAACCUUUUCUUCUGUCAUUAGCAUAGGGGAGCUUGGUGGUGUUGGAGUUUCAAUUUUGUAUCUUACAUUAUUUUCUGUUUCCUUGAUGUGUAUUUUGAGCCCUGUUCCUUGUCCUUUAGAGUGGUUUGAAAAUUAUUGUCAUUAACUGCAGGGUAGUUUAUCAUGUUUUUGAAUUCUGCAGCAUUUCAGAUUUGGAUUUUUGGAUUUUGGAUGCUCAACUGGUAAUGUCUAUGCUAAUAUUCCAAAAUUCAGAAAACACUGAAAUCUGAAGCACUUCUGUCCCAAGUAUUUUGGAUAAGGAAUCCUUAGUCUGUACAUAAAUACUUCUUUGUACUUAAGUUUGGUUUCUUAGGACAGAUUGCUAAAGGGUCAAUUCCUG
rnacentral:lncRNA from 1 species